UGAAGAGUUUGAUCAUGGCUCAGAUUGAACGCUGGCGGCAGGCCUAACACAUGCAAGUCGAACGGUAACAGGAAGCAGCUUGCUGCUUUGCUGACGAGUGGCGGACGGGUGAGUAAUGUCUGGGAAACUGCCUGAUGGAGGGGGAUAACUACUGGAAACGGUGGCUAAUACCGCAUAACGUCGCAAGACCAAAGAGGGGGACCUUCGGGCCUCUUGCCAUCAGAUGUGCCCAGAUGGGAUUAGCUUGUUGGUGAGGUAACGGCUCACCAAGGCGACGAUCCCUAGCUGGUCUGAGAGGAUGACCAGCCACACUGGAACUGAGACACGGUCCAGACUCCUACGGGAGGCAGCAGUGGGGAAUAUUGCACAAUGGGCGCAAGCCUGAUGCAGCCAUGCCGCGUGUAUGAAGAAGGCCUUCGGGUUGUAAAGUACUUUCAGCGGGGAGGAAGGUGUUGUGGUUAAUAACCGCAGCAAUUGACGUUACCCGCAGAAGAAGCACCGGCUAACUCCGUGCCAGCAGCCGCGGUAAUACGGAGGGUGCAAGCGUUAAUCGGAAUUACUGGGCGUAAAGCGCACGCAGGCGGUCUGUCAAGUCGGAUGUGAAAUCCCCGGGCUCAACCUGGGAACUGCAUUCGAAACUGGCAGGCUUGAGUCUUGUAGAGGGGGGUAGAAUUCCAGGUGUAGCGGUGAAAUGCGUAGAGAUCUGGAGGAAUACCGGUGGCGAAGGCGGCCCCCUGGACAAAGACUGACGCUCAGGUGCGAAAGCGUGGGGAGCAAACAGGAUUAGAUACCCUGGUAGUCCACGCCGUAAACGAUGUCUACUUGGAGGUUGUGCCCUUGAGGCGUGGCUUCCGGAGCUAACGCGUUAAGUAGACCGCCUGGGGAGUACGGCCGCAAGGUUAAAACUCAAAUGAAUUGACGGGGGCCCGCACAAGCGGUGGAGCAUGUGGUUUAAUUCGAUGCAACGCGAAGAACCUUACCUGGUCUUGACAUCCACAGAACUUUCCAGAGAUGGAUUGGUGCCUUCGGGAACUGUGAGACAGGUGCUGC
rnacentral:rRNA from 1 species